AUGGCGGUCCAUGUCUCGGCGGAGAGCAGGAGAGAGGGAGGUGGAGAAGGAGUCUGGAGGGGAAAUGGAGAAAACCAGCAGGUAGCUUGCCCACGGCCCCGGGCUCUUUCAUCCUGCCCCAAAUGCCACUCGAUCUCGAACUUUAGGAUGGAGACAACUGAGGCAAGUGUUCCCCCCCUGUUAUUGGAGUUGGGGUUUUUAUUUGAUUAGUACUCAAAGCAUUCUUCAUUGUUUUUCUUGAGUGUUUUCAAGUAAAUUGGUGCAAGAAUUUCUUCUGAAUGAAGUAACACUGUCUCUCUCAUGGGUUCUUAGUUCCCUUGGAGGCUGCAGUGAAUGCUGAAGAAGCAUGGGUUCUGGAGUCAUAUAGAUCUGGUUCGAAUUUGGGGUUCAUCAGCUAUUAGUUGUUUGACUUUGGGCAAAUGACUUCACAUCUGUGAACUUUUCUCAUUGGAAACACUGAAAUAAUCAUUGUUCCUCCUUAUUGAAUUUUGUAAGAACGAGGCAUUUGAUCAAUGUUGAGCACCUUUCCUUGGAAAAUAACCAGGAAAUCUUCAUGCUAUUUGGGUCAAUACAAAGGUCCUGAAUAGUGAAUCUAGGGAAGGAAACAGUUGCUUGCCUAGCAACAGCUGCACCUUCCUUUGUGAUGACAUACACAAGUGCCCCUUUGCAGGGGAUAGAAGGCACAGCACCACAUUUCUGGAGACAUGACAGAUGUGAUCAUGGCACUCUUGGCAAGGCGGGCUCCUUCUCAGCUUUUGGGCCAGAGUAAUCCCUGCCUCUGCCGAGAGGCCUCCCCUACCUGUCCUGUCUGGUGUAGUGCUCCCUGUUUCUAUCACUACACCUGUGUGACACUUUCAAGACUUAAUCUCACGCUGUAAUUAUACUUGUGGUUGUUACUUGGGUAUUGCUUCCCCUAUCUCAGUCUUUUUCCCCUCGAUUGGUUUUUAGUUCAUCUUCAGAAUGGCAUUUGCAGGAAUGUUCACUUCAUCUCUGUCUUAGCUCCCUGCUGCUGAAGCAGCUAGGGAUUGGGGGCCACAAGAAGAGAGACUGGGGCUUGGGAGGGGGGCAAAGAGAGAGGAAGAGUGAGGAAGAAAAGAAGGCUGUAUUCAUGGAUGGAUUUUGGCAGAGUGUCCUGGAGCGAAAACAAUUGAGUUCAUGAAUAACUGGGAAUUGAGGAUUAUUGAAAAUGAAAAUAUGUUUGAUUACUUAU
rnacentral:lncRNA from 1 species